rfam:Candidatus Hepatoplasma crinochetorum Av, complete genome.
UAAUUUUAUAGUCGCAAUGAUAACCCUGUAAUUUGGUCAGGUUGGAAACAAAGCAGCCACAUCGGGAAGUGUCAUGUGCGACUUUUUGUUUAUAUUU